CAGUCGUACCGGCGGAUAAUCAGCCUUUCGGGUGCGAUUCUGUGGGGCGUGGAGGAGUUUAACCGCCUUCAUUGUUUUGCAUAUUCGUGCACAUUUGGUGUACUUGUCCGUGUGGUGGGUUAACAUCUAAUUUUGGUGGUCAUAAAAUGACUGGAGG
rnacentral:rRNA from 1 species